CUUCUCAUUAGAACUACUCUGGCCAGAGUGUUGCUAAAUUAUAAAAUGCAGUGAUACAUCAUCGAAAAUUUUACUUGGAGCGAUCAAUUCCAUCUUGACUUGCACUCAGAAUUCACAAGUACUUGACUAUACCCAGAAACCUUCUGUUAUCGAAUUAGAAAUUUGGAUAGUCCGAUACCAAAGUAUAGUGAGUUGCUUGCAAGUCAUCGAGGCAGCCUC
rnacentral:lncRNA from 1 species